rnacentral:rRNA from 1 species
GAGCGGGUGUAGCAAUACACCAGCGGCAGACGGGAGAGUAACACGUGGGAACGUGCCCUUCAGUUCGGAACAACCCCAGGGAAACUUGGGCUAAUACCGGAUACGUCCGUAAGGAGAAAGAUUUAUCGCUGAAGGAUCGGCCCGCGUCUGAUUAGCUAGUUGGUGAGGUAAUGGCUCACCAAGGCGACGAUCAGUAGCUGGUCUGAGAGGAUGAUCAGCCUCACUGGGACUGAGACACGGCCCAGACUCCUACGGGAGGCAGCAGUGGGGAAUAUUGGACAAUGGGCGCAAGCCUGAUCCAGCCAUGCCGCGUGGAUGAUGAAGGCCCUAGAGUUGUAAAGUCCUUUCGGCGGGGAAGAUAAUGACGGUACCCGCAGAAGAAGCCCCGGCUAACUUCGUG